rnacentral:rRNA from 1 species
CUGGCUCAGGACGAACGCUGGCGGCGUGCCUAACACAUGCAAGUCGAGCGAGGAGAUCCUUCGGGAUGAUCCUAGCGGCGGACGGGUGAGUAACACGUGGGCAACCUGCCUCAUAGAGAGGAAUAGCCUUCCGAAAGGGAGAUUAAUACCUCAUAACAUUGCAGUUUCGCAUGGAACAGCAAUUAAAGGAGCAAUCCACUAUGAGAUGGGCCCGCGGCGCAUUAGCUAGUUGGUGAGGUAACGGCUCACCAAGGCGACGAUGCGUAGCCGACCUGAGAGGGUGAUCGGCCACAUUGGGACUGAGACACGGCCCAGACUCCUACGGGAGGCAGCAGUGGGGAAUAUUGCACAAUGGGGGAAACCCUGAUGCAAGCAACGCCGCGUGAGUGAUGACGGCCUUCGGGUUGUAAAGCUCUGUCUUCAGGGACGAUAAUGACGGUACCUGAGGAGGAAGCCACGGCUAACUACGUGCCAGCAGCCGC